rnacentral:rRNA from 1 species
AUGGGAGGACAGGUCCAGCGCCACCACCCUGCCGCUGCCGCCGCCGCAGGUCACACCCUCCCAGCUGCAGAAGCUGGUGCUGCUGUUCCACGAGCGGAGUGGGCCAGAGCUUCCGCCCCUCCUGAUACCCACCUUGAAAGCAAGCAAGGCGGCUCCAUCAUCAUCAUCAUGGUUGCCAACACUGUCCCUCGCCGUGGCGAUCACGAGGGUGAAGAGGAGGGACAACAAAAGCAACCUCACGGGGGGCAUCUCGGCCAUUUCUUCGGUUCGGUUUCGAACGUGGCAGUGGUUUGGAAGGUAGCAGAAGCAGCUGAAUUCAGCAGGCCGAGGCUAGUAACCCAGGUGGCAUUUUGGCUGAUUUAG